GUUCCGUUCAGGCCUGUGCGAGAAAGACUCCCAGGCCCCUGGGUUCUCCAUAGCCCACACUUCCACUCGGCUCCGCUUCUCUUGCCCAGCUGUCUCUCCUCCAAGGAGCGGACAGGGCGGACACGAGACCCGGGUGCCCUUUUGUCCUCUAUUCCAGCUCUGGGCGGAUCCUCCUCCCAUGAUGUGGAUGAUGCUGAGGAGAAAGUGGAAGACGGGUCUGAAGAAGCAAGGACUGGCAAGUCUGAUCCCCCACUCUGAUUCUCAUUGCUGAAUGUCUGGGUCUUCCUUGUGUACCUGCUGGGGUGGGAGACUGCUCGCAGCAUACCUGGCCUAUGACAUGCCUAGCUCUCUGGGGUGGAUCUUGGACAGGAAGACUGCUUCUGCCAGAGUAAAGAAUAUGACGGAGCUCCUCAUCCGAUGGAGCCUCUGGGAAGAGGCGAAGAGCCAGCUGGAAGCCUGGUGGGCCUCCGCUGCCAGCAGGACAGAUGCAUCAAGUCAGGUUUAUGGGAGAAGUCUUCCCAGACCACUAUGUCCAAACUUCUGUCCAUCCUGCUAUAACCUCUCCAGUUAGAUGGAUGAAAACCAGACCAGUCAGCCAUGGACCAGAGCUGCAAAGAUAAGAACCCAAAGAAGAAACAAAUGGUGUAGCAUUAAGUAUUUCUUUCCACUUGAGCAGAAAAAUCGGAGACUAAGGGAACUGGAGGAGUGUGGCCUUUGAAUGAGACUUGAGGUGGUGAGACAGCAAGUGAACGUGGGGAUACUUGCUCAGAGCUUUGCUAGAAUACCUCAUGGUUUACUGGACCUAGGACCUUCUUGAUAUAGAAAUGACCAUAAAAAGAAAGCAGACAGAUUCCCAUGAAGAAAAAGUGACCUCUCCUCUGAAUUCCAUGCUUGGAAAAGUACUUAUUUAAAGGAAGGAAAAAAGUCUCCAAAGCAAAACCUGGCUUGUUUAGAUAACUUGGUCUAGGAACAUGGCGGAAGCUGAACCCAAGAACAUGCCUGCACAGUGCAACUUCUGGGUGGGAGUCAGUUGUCUUUUCUGAGUUCCCUGGACCUGAGAGUGUGACACUGAGACCAGGGGUGUGGAGAAAUCUAUCUCAUAUUUAUGACAUGUGGUGGGAUCUUUACUGAGCAUUUCAACCCAUCCUGUAGUAAAGAGUGCUGAAUCAUGGUGGGUCACCCUUCUAGACUAGAGACAGCCUGGGUGGGUUCACUGGAACCAGCCAAAAUGGCCACAGGACCAGCUUGAGUCUCCACUACAAAGGGCAGGUGAGGGGAGCAGGAGGUAGAACGUUCACAGGACAGGACGAUCAGGAGCAGAGAGUUGCUCUAAGAUAUGAGCACCAGAUGGGGAAAUUUAACAGAGUGGACUGUAGAGUCACUUGGAAGGAAAAAUGGAAGAGGAUUUUAUAUUACAGCUGCUGUCAAUGGUUCUAACCUUGUAGAAAUCUAUAGGUAAAAAUAUUGUGAAAUUACAUAUGCCCUUUGUUUUCACUUAGUUUUUAAUUUCGCUUACUCUAAUUACUAGCUUUUCAAUAUAGGUUUAAAAAGCAGUUAUCAGAUUUUUAUUAAUUAAGAUAGAAGAAAUCUUUUCUCAUAGACUAUUUAGUUUUUUAUUUUGAAAUUAUGUUAAACUUAUAGAAAAAUUUACAAAAAUAGUACAGAGAGUUCCUGUAUAUCCUUCAACUAGCUUUCCCUAGUGUUACUGUCAUACUUAACAAUAAUACAUUGAUCAUAAAUAAGAAAUGAACAUUGGUACGACACUAUGGGCCUAACUACAGACGUUAUUCCACUAGUAUCCUUUUUCUGGCUCAGGAUCCAAUUCAGGAUCUCAAAUUGCCUUUAGUUAUCACGACUCCCUAGUCUCUUCCAAUCUGUAAUUGUCCCAAAUUUUUCUUGACAACUUCAACAUAUGUUUUUAAAACUUUUUAUUUUGAGAUAACUUUAAAUUCACAUGCAGUUGCAGGAAAUAAUACAGAGAGAUCCCUAUAUUCCUCACCUAGUUUCCCCCAUUGGUAACAUCUCAAUAACUAUGGCAUAAUAUCACAACUUGGAAAUUCACAUUGAUGAGGUACAUGGAUCUUCUUCAGAUUUCACCAGUUUCACAUGGACCUGUGUGUAUCAGUGUGUGUGUGUGUGUGUGUGUGUGUCUGUUUGUAUCAGUUCUGUGCAGUUUUAUCACAUGUGUAGAUUCAUAUGGCCACUACCAGAGAACAGUUCUAUCACAAGGACCCCCAGUGCUACCCUUCUAUAGCUAUUUCCGUUUAUCCCCAGCUCCCAAUCCCUGGCAGCCAUUAAUUUGUUCUCUAUCUCUAUAGUUUUGUCAUUUCAAGAAUAUCAUAUAAAUAGAGUUAUACAGUAUGUAAUCUCUUGAGAUUGGCUUUUUUUCACUCAGCCUAAUUUUCUUGAGAUCCAUCCAUGUUGUUGCAUUGGUCAAUAAUUCAUUCAUGUUUCUUGCUAAGUCGUACUCCAUGGUUUGAUGGACCAGUUUGUUUAGGCAUUCAAUUGUCGAAGGACAUUUGCACAACCUCAGUUCUUUUGAAGUCAGUUUUUGUAGAAUGUCUUUUGAUUUGAGUUGGUCUGAUGUUUUCACAUAUUUAGAUCAUGGCAAUGCAUUAUCAUCAUGAAUACCACAAAAGGGCUGUGCCCUUCUGAGUUCAUCCUAUCAAGGAGUACAUGAAGUCAAUAUGUCUCAUUACUGGUGAUAUUAACUUUAAUAGAUUGGUUAAUUGGUGUCUGCCAGGUUUUUUUCUGCUGUGAAAUUACUGUUUUUCCUUAGUAAAUAAUAAAUAUUUUGGAGG
rnacentral:lncRNA from 1 species